rnacentral:lncRNA from 1 species
AGUAGUAAGCCAGUAUAUGAGCAGGAUGCUCCAUCUCUCUCACCUCUCCAAGCUGAUUCACUUCUGGGACUUUUCUUGCCGGAAUCAGCUCGAUGUUCCAGUACGGUCUAGACAUUAGCCUCAGGUCUUGUCCCGUCGUUGAUGCUCUGUAGCCUUGUACCCACAGGUAUCUCAGCGAAGGGAUUUUCAGUACCGCUGCAGCUAUUGCUCGCUCGCUGAAGCAACAACCUCUCAUCUCCAGCUUCUGUAGUUUCGGACAUCCUCUUGAGAACUCCAUUAGGCCUUCGUCUGAUUCACCAACGUAACCGAGAAGCAUCCACCUCACGUUUGGACUGUACUGUCCGAUGUAGCUUAACCCCACGUCUGUUAAGCCGCCUUGUCUGAGAUAGAAUGCAAACCGUCUGAGUUUCUUGCAUCCGAUCAAGAGGGAUCGGACUCCGUUGUCUAGUGGCAGAUCUGUUAUUCUCUCUUCUUGGUCGAGUAAGACGAGGCGGAAGUCACAGAGGUUUUUCAGAUAUGUGCCUAUGCUUUCGAGAGACUCGUUGGUUAUAUCUGAGACAUACACCGCCAUGUAUUCUAGCUCCUGGCAGCCCUGAGCCAAAGCGACUAAUCCUCUUUGUGAUACUAGGCCUUCUUCAUCCUCCAUUCCUUGUUCAUCUUCACCCCGUUCAAUCCUCAGCCGCUUCAACUUCUUACAGCACUGUCCAAGAACCUCUAGACCCCUAUCUCCAAUUACAUUCCUUGUCUGAAAUACAGCAAAAAAUGUCACAUAUCCCUUAUCUACCACAAUUUAUACACUUGCAAAAUGAAUGCGAAAUUCAUGAUAGUUGAAUAGUGUAAAGAACAGAUAUUGCGUUCAAAUUUACCUCGAGAACUUCCAAAUUAGGACACUUUUGAAUAAGUGUACAAUGAUCCUCAGUUGCGAGCAAUGCAUAGAUCAGAUCCAGCUUCCGGAUUUGGGCAGCGAAUGGAAACAGUAUUGGCAUUUCAUUAGGUCCCAUGUAAGAAAGGCCAAGACAACAUAGUUUUGGAGGGAAAGUCAGAUUCAUAUACUUCUCCGGUCUUCCAAUUUCUUCAUUUCUAUUGCUUAUCAAAUGCACUGCCAAAGGUAGUUAAAAAUCGGUGUCUUUUCUUCUUAUUUUAGCUUUCGUCUCUCGCAGGUGCAAAAGGUUACAGUUUGAGUCUGCGUGGAGGCAGUAUCAGGCGGAUCCAAAUCUGAGCACGGUUGCGGAAUAUAUAAUGUAGACCAGCUCUGUCUGAACAGAGGCAGCUUCUCGUCGGCUCAGAGUCUUAGGGCUUGUAAUAGAGUUUCAUUCACUCUUUUUAAUUAGAGAAAUAACAAAACAUAUCUUCUGAAUAGACUAGUUUUCUCUCUUCUUAUUUCAAUCUCUCAAAAGUCUUUAUGGAAUCUCUCAAAACUACAGACAAUACACCAAUAAAGAAAAAUAGAAUCCAUUCGACAGUUCGUGGAAACCUCAAAACCAAAUCUUUAUGUACAAACCUGCUUUUCAUCAUCAUCAUCAUCAUCAUCAUGCCUCCCUCAGGACUUUAACAGUUGGUGGACAAUCUGUUCUCUCACCAGCCAGAGAGUAGUAAGCCAGUAUAUGAGCAGGAUGCUCCAUCUCUCUCACCUCUCCAAGCUGAUUCACUUCUGGGACUUUUCUUGCCGGAAUCAGCUCGAUGUUCCAGUACGGUCUAGACAUUAGCCUCAGGUCUUGUCCCGUCGUUGAUGCUCUGUAGCCUUGUACCCACAGGUAUCUCAGCGAAGGGAUUUUCAGUACCGCUGCAGCUAUUGCUCGCUCGCUGAAGCAACAACCUCUCAUCUCCAGCUUCUGUAGUUUCGGACAUCCUCUUGAGAACUCCAUUAGGCCUUCGUCUGAUUCACCAACGUAACCGAG